rnacentral:antisense_RNA from 1 species
UUUUAUGACCUAAAAAACCCCACAGGCUGGUCUGAAGAGGAAGACACUUAAAGAUGAAGUGCUUAAUUCAAGGUCACAGAAUGUCGGGGAUGGACCUCCAGAUUUCCUUACUGACCUGCAUUAUCUUGUGGAUACCUGAGUGAAUUCCACACCACCCAUUUUAUAGAUGAAGCCACUGAGACGUGGAGCAACUGACUGAGUAGUCACUGCCCCACCCCUGCCUGGAGCCUCACACAUGACUUCUCUUAGUGACCACAGGAAAACAAGCUCAGGGCUCCCACUGAUUGUACAUUAUGAGACAGAGUCUUCUUGCUAUGUUGCCCAGGCUGGUCUUGAACUCCUAACCUCAAGCGAUCCUCCCAUCUUGGCCUCCCAGGUGUCAGGAUUACAGGCAUGUGCUAUCACACCCAACCUGAUACAUUGCCUUUAUAAAUUUUUUUUUCUUUAUUCUAAAAAACAGAAAAAACAAAACUGGAUACAUGUGCAGAACAUGCAGACCAAGUGUGUUGGGGACUUGAGAUAUGUACAUGAGUGUUUGUGAUGUUUCCUGGUGAAAGCACAGGUGAGACGUGGUCUUGUAACACAGUGGUUAAGAAUGUGACUUUGGAGCCAGCCUGCUAGGGGCUGAAUUCUGACUCAGCCAUUUAUUAACUGUGUGACCUUAGGCUGGCGUGCAAUGGCGUGAUCUCGGCUCACCACAACCUCUGCUUCCCGGGUUCAAGCGAUUCUCCUGCCUCAGCCUCCCGAGUACCUGGGACUACAGGCACUCGCCACCAUG